UACGGAGGGUGCAAGCGUUAUCCGGAUUCACUGGGUUUAAAGGGUGCGUAGGCGGCCAGGUAGGUCUGCUGUGAAAACUCGAGGCUUAACCUCGAGCUGUCGGCGGAAACCAUCUGGCUAGAGUCCGGAAGAGGAGAAUGGAAUUCCCGGUGUAGCGGUGAAAUGCGCAGAUAUCGGGAAGAACACCCGUGGCGAAGGCGGUUCUCUGGGACGGUACUGACGCCGAGACGCGAAAGCGUGGGGAGCGAACAGG
rnacentral:rRNA from 1 species